AGGAGUUCGCAACGGAGUCACGAUUUCGAUCGUCGAUGAAAAUCGUUAUCACAUAUCCCGCGUGUCUCAUGAAAUUAAUCACGCGAGUGACUAUCGCGGGAGUGUCGAUUUAAAUAUCGUGCGAUUAUCAGAGAAUGUUAAUCAUUCGUUUGAAAUCGCGAGUUUAAAACGAAUACUUAAAAGGAAAGUCUCGGGAGUGCGGUCUUGAAGUAUUGAGUGAUAUUAUUUAUAGUGUGUUAAUUACAACGUUAUGCAACAAUUAGAGCUAAUAUUUGUACACGUGUUUCGGCAAAAGUAGAAGGUUACUGGAAACUACGUCAAUAAAAUAGCGCAUGGAAAGCCAUGGAACGUAUUGGAGAUCAUCGGCGCUUUCAACGAGCGAUUCGUCCCGGUAAAUGACGACCCGCAGCCCACGAUGAGGAGCGAAGCUCGAGAAAUGAAGUUCGACGAAAGCAGAUCCCGCGUGAAGAGUAGCCGCCGCCAAGAGUCCCCAAACGGCCGAACUUAGAUGCAGCUGCAGAUGCAGGGCGCAUAUAUGGAACGCGUCGGUGCAGUCGCUUCGAACGUGAAAACUUCUGUUUCCGCAACAAAGGGAGAGAAAGAGACAGGGAGGGGAGAGGAGAGUCAAGA